AGACCCUGCGAGGUCACAAAGCCCCCCAUGAAGUCAUAAGGCCAAGCCAUGGUGUGCAGUGCAGGGCGUGUGCUGCAGGCACCGCUCCAGCAGCAGCAGUGACAGCGGUGACAGCAUGGUGCAGGCGCGGUGGGCCCUGGCCCUCAUCCUCCUCCUGGUGGCCCUGCCAGUCGGAGGUCCAGAGUAUCAAGAUGGAAGGGGACAAUCUUCCCAGGACACAUCCAAAGUGCUACAUGAAAUCCUUGGACAGCUGAAGACAAUAGCACGAGGUGUGAACAGCCUCAGCCUCAACAGCGCCGUGGAUGGCAGAAGAUUCACCAGCGCUGUGGUGGGCAAGGCAGACCCAAACCUUGUGGAAGGCAGGACAGACCCAAUUGCUGUGGUGGGCAGGGCAGAUCCAAAUGCUGUUGAUGGCAGGACAGACCCAAACACUGUGGAUGGCAGGACAGAUCCAAACGCUGUGGUGGGCAGGGCAGACCCAAACUCUGUGGGUGCUGAUACCUUCCAGACGCACUGCAUAGAAGGCAUCGUGGCUGUCCUGGGCUCAAUUCUGCUGGGGAUGGCAUUGUAUUGUGUAUUCCACUUGUGGAGGAAGAGGAGAAAGCGCCUCGCAGCUUCGAGAGCCGGCUCUGAGCGCCCCAACAGCCGGGCAGAAGCCAGCAGAAUAUUUGCAGGAGCGUUUAAAUAAAGAUCAGCAGCACAAUCGACUGGAUUGUACUGGCAGCAAAUUCCUAUGGGUGCCACUGCGAGGCCUGGGGGUCCCCUGGGUACUGAUGGAAUCUAACUUACCACUGAUUCUAACUGUUUCUGAUUUGAUUUUCACUAUACGUAUUAUCCAUUCCAUAAGCAAUAGUGACCCUGGCCAGCACACUUUGUUGUGUUUUUGGAAAUUCAUAUUAAUUCCAC
rnacentral:lncRNA from 1 species